GACGAACCGUGCGAACGUUGUUCGGAAUCACUGGGCUUAAAGGGCGCGUAGGCGGGCUGCCAAGUCAGGGGUGAAAGCCCACGGCUCAACCGUGGAAGUGCCUUUGAUACUGGCGGCCUUGAGGGAGGUAGGGGCGUGCGGAACUUCCGGUGUAGCGGUGAAAUGCGUAGAUAUCUGGAGGAACACCGGUGGCGAAGGCGGCAUCCUGGACCGGCAUUGACGCUGAGGCGCGAAAGCCAGGGGAGCAAACGGG
rnacentral:rRNA from 1 species